rnacentral:rRNA from 1 species
GAGUAGAAGUUCCAAAGGGCGAACACCGGUUAGCCGGGCCUGAGAGGGCGACCGGCCACACUGGGACUGAGACACGGCCCAGACUCCUACGGGAGGCAGCAGUGGGGAAUAUUGCACAAUGGGCGAAAGCCUGAUGCAGCGACGCCGCGUGAGGGAUGACGGCCUUCGGGUUGUAAACCUCUUUCAGCAGGGAAGAAGCGAAAGUGACGGUACCUGCAGAAGAAGCGCCGGCUAACUACGUGCCAGCAGCCGCGGUAAUACGUAGGGCGCGAGCGUUGUCCGGAAUUAUUGGGCGUAAAGAGCUCGUAGGCGGCUUGUCACGUCGGGUGUGAAAGACCGGGGCUUAACUCCGGUUCUGCAUUCGAUACGGGCUAGCUAGAGUGUGGUAGGGGAGAUCGGAAUUCCUGGUGUAGCGGUGAAAUGCGCAGAUAUCAGGAGGAACACCGGUGGCGAAGGCGGAUCUCUGGGCCAUUACUGACGCUGAGGAGCGAAAGCGUGGGGAGCGAACAGGAUUAGAUACCCUGGUAGUCCACGCCGUAAACGGUGGGAACUAGGUGUUGGCGACAUUCCACGUCGUCGGUGCCGCAGCUAACGCAUUAAGUUCCCCGCGUGGGGGAAGUACGGGA